UACGUAGGUGGCAAGCGUUUGUUCGGAAUUACUGGGCGUAAAGCGCGUGUAGGCGGCUCUUCAAGUCAGACGUGAAAGCCCCGGGCUUAACUCGGGAACUGCGUUUGAUACUGUCGAGCUAGAGUGUGGAAGGGGCGAUUGGAAUUCCGUGUGUAGCGGUGAAAUGCGUAGAUAUACGGAGGAACACCAGGGGCGAAGGCGGAUCGCUGGGCCAACACUGACGCUGAGACGCGAAAGCUAGGGGGAGCAAACGGG
rnacentral:rRNA from 1 species